UUUCGGAGAGUUUGAUCCUGGCUCAGGACGAACGCUGGCGGCGUGCCUAAUACAUGCAAGUCGAGCGGAUUGAUGGGAGCUUGCUCCCUGAAAUCAGCGGCGGACGGGUGAGUAACACGUGGGUAACCUGCCUGUAAGACUGGGAUAACUCCGGGAAACCGGGGCUAAUACCGGAUAGUUCUUUUCCUCGCAUGAGGAAAAGUGGAAAGGCGGCUUCGGCUGCCACUUACAGAUGGACCCGCGGCGCAUUAGCUAGUUGGUGAGGUAACGGCUCACCAAGGCAACGAUGCGUAGCCGACCUGAGAGGGUGAUCGGCCACACUGGGACUGAGACACGGCCCAGACUCCUACGGGAGGCAGCAGUAGGGAAUCUUCCGCAAUGGACGAAAGUCUGACGGAGCAACGCCGCGUGAGUGAUGAAGGUUUUCGGAUCGUAAAGCUCUGUUGUUAGGG
rnacentral:rRNA from 1 species